GGGCCCGUAGCUCAAUUGGUUAGAGCCGGCCGCUCAUAACGGUCUGGUUGCUGGUUCGAGUCCAGCCGGGCCCACCA
rnacentral:tRNA from 2 species